AAAAAGAUAAGCUAAUCAAGCUAUUGGGUUCAUACCCCACUUAUAAAGGUCCCCCCACCCCUUUUCUUUUUA
rnacentral:tRNA from 1 species